rnacentral:lncRNA from 1 species
AAUGAAGAUCCAUGAUGCUUCCAUCUGCCGUCACAUACAUUACUGUCAACCUAUAAUGGGCGAUAAUGGUGUUAUUGAGGAAUACUAUCGUUGACCAUGUGAAGAUGAAGCCGGUUUGAAACUUGUUUACAAAAUGGUGGAAAAGUACGAAACAGGCAACAACACGGAGUUGUGUUUUAAGUUCUACAUGGACACCAGUAGAAAUUCAUGAUUUGGUGGUUAAGCUCCAACUACAACAUAUCCAAAACAUUAUUUCCAAGAACAUGGGGAGGCCUCUCAUUAUGCUUGACAUAACAUGGAGGAAAAUGUAGCUGAAAACGAGGAUUCAGACGAAGCUGAAAACCAGGCUAUGGACAGGCCGAUGGGGAUAGUGAGGCAUCGAGUGAGGAUGAUGAUGGUGAUCAUAUUGGAACGAUGAACCAUGAAGAAGAGGAUAUUGAUGUCAAACAGAAGAUGAGCGACGUCAUCGUCUCAUGCCCGUCCAUGAGAGUAAACACCACCCGAGAUGUACAUAACCUUGGGUGACAACAUUGGCGAGGUAAUGACUAUGAAAUAUUACGAUCGAGGUCUAGAAAUUCUACCCUUUAAUGCCACUCGUGAAGAUUUUUACAUAGUGCAACGCUUUCACACAAAGAAGGAAGCAAGCAAGUCUUCUUGUCAUACACUGGUCAAUCCACAAGCACCAAAUGGUUACAAUGACCCGCUCAAAGCAGUGGGAACUAGAGGUUUGAUGUCAUUCGUACGAAACAAGUGGUUUUCCAUGGAGAUUACACGUGAUAAACAAAGCUGAUAACAGGGUUUAGACGUCGACAAUCAAAUUUCCCUCCGUUUCUAUUACCAUAUGGCCGAUAAUAUUCUUCGCCAGGUGACACACAUGUUCCUGACUUCACUUCAACCGUUUCAUUUUUUGGGAGGUGGUUGGGUUCGCUUUCAUAAGUUGGUGGUGAUUAGUUGCUUGAUAAUGAACUAGGACCUUGUUUGGAUACUUAGAACUUAAUGGUUCAAUAUUAACUCCUUGCCGAGGGUUUAGUUAAGGGACAUUCAUUUGUAACAUUAGUAGUGUUUGGGCGAUGUAUUAUGUCGUUUGGUGAUUAACAGUAACCAUUCAAAUUGAAUUACUUCUCUUCAAUGCCUUGCUAACGUUCUGAUGCUCUUGUAUAUGAUCUUCUUAUAAUUGUGUGGUUUAUGAAUUACUACUUUAACCAUUUCAG